UACGUAGGGUGCAAGCGUUGUCCGGAAUUAUUGGGCGUAAAGAGCUCGUAGGCGGUCUGUCACGUCGGCUGUGAAAUCCCGAGGCUCAACCUCGGGUCUGCAGUCGAUACGGGCAAACUAGAGUAUUGCAGGGGAGACUGGAAUUCCUGGUGUAGCGGCGAAAUGCGCAGAUAUCAGGAGGAACACCGGUGGCGAAGGCGGGUCUCUGGGCAAUAACUGACGCUGAGGAGCGAAAGCGUGGGGAGCGAACAGG
rnacentral:rRNA from 1 species